UAAUACGUAGGGGGCGAGCGUUAUCCGGAUUUACUGGGCGUAAAGCGCGUUAAGGCGGCCGACAAAGUUGGUGGUGAAAUUUCAGGGCUCAACUCUGAAACUGCCUCCAAUACUAGUUGGCUUGAGUGCGAUAGAGGAAGGUGGAAUUCCCGGUGUAGUAGUGAAAUGCGUAGAUAUCGGGAGGAACACCAGUGGCGAAGGCGGCCUUCUGGCUCGCAACUGACGCUGUAGCGCGAAAGCGUGGGGAGCGAACGGGAUUAGAUACCCCGGUAGUCCACGCCCUAAACGAUGUGCACUAGGUGUUGGGCGUAUUGACGCGCUCAGUGCCGCAGCUAACGCAUUAAGUGCACCGCCUGGGGAGUACGGUCGCAAGAUUA
rnacentral:rRNA from 1 species